GCGCGCUGGCGGCGUGCUAUACAUGCAGUCGAGCGGACUUUAAGCUUGCUUUUAAGCUAGCGGCGGACGGGUGAGUACACGUGGGCAACCUGCCUGUUAGACUGGGAUAACUUCGGGAAACCGGAGCUAAUACCGGAUAAUCCUUUUCCUCUCAUGAGGAAAGCUGAAAGACGGUUUACGCUGUCACUCACAGAUGGGCCCGCGGCGCAUUAGCUAGUUGGUGAGGUAACGGCUCACCAAGGCGACGAUGCGUAGCCGACCUGAGAGGGUGAUCGGCCACACUGGGACUGAGACACGGCCCAGACUCCUACGGGAGGCAGCAGUAGGGAAUCUUCCGCAAUGGACGAAAGUCUGACGGAGCAACGCCGCGUGAGUGAUGAAGGUUUUCGGAUCGUAAAACUCUGUUGUUAGGGAAGAACAAGUACAAGAGUAACUGCUUGUACCUUGACGGUACCUAACCAGAAAGCCACGGCUAACUACGUGCCAGCAGCCGCGGUUAUACGUAGGUGGCAAGCGUUGUCCGGAAUUAUUGGCGUAAAGCGCGCGCAGGCGGUCCUUUAAGUCUGAUGUGAAGCCACGGCUCACCGUGAGGUCAUGAAACUGGGGACUUGAUGCAAAAGAAAGGUGAAUCCCCCUGUACGGUGAAUGGGAAAAUGUGGAGGACCACGUGGGGAGGCAACUCUUUGUCUGUAACUGACCCUGAGGCGAAGCGUGGGACCAACAGAUAAUACCUGUUCCACCCGUACGUAGUGCUAUGUAAGGUUCCCCUUUAUGUCCCAAACAUACCCUCCGCUGGGAAAAGCCCAAGCUAAA
rnacentral:rRNA from 1 species